AGAGAUUUGUAUCCAUUAUAUUCAGUAGCCUGCAUGUGUCCAAAUCACAAAUGAAAUAAUGUGGGCAAAUAUAAAUUAAAAUUGAAUGUUGCAGAAGUGGUUGAGGAACUUCACCAGGAUACAUUAAUGUACAAACUGAAAACUGAUGAAAGACUUCUGAAGAGAGAUUUUCUAGGAAAAAUAAAAAGAUGUAUAAAUUUCAGUGAUGCUGAAGGAGAGGAAGGAUGUGAUGUCUUUCCCCAUCCGUCAUAAGGGUCAUGGCCAACACUCCUAUAACAAAAGGUUUUGAGAAGCCAUCUGCAGCUCACAACUAGAUGAGUGACACAAUCAGAUGUGCGUAUGCAAAAAAAAGCCUAGAGACAUUGAACUAAGAUCAAAUUAAAUGUAUUAAAUAUGGUAGAAAGAAGAGAGAAUGAAAAAUAAUGUUAACAAUCUAGGUGAGGAAUUGCUGAGGAGACAAAUUAAGUAAAUCCUGUGGAAGGAAAGAAGAAAGGAGGAAAGAGGAUUGGAUGGAAGAAUCUCCACUUCUCAGUAAUUCGUUUAUUUACUUUAUUAGUUUACUUCCAUGUGAUUGGCAUCUAAAUUAUUAUUUUAAAGUUAGAUGACUUUUGCUAAUAUCCUUGUAUUUAAAUUUUUAAAAAUACAUCUUGUUUUCUUCCA
rnacentral:sRNA from 1 species